rnacentral:tRNA from 1 species
ACGAUUAUGGCGGAAUUGGUAUACGCGUUAGACUAAGGAUCUAAUGAUCAAUUGAUCGUGGGGGUUCAAAUCCCCCUAAUCGUA